rnacentral:lncRNA from 1 species
GAAUGGAAAGGUAUUAUGAUCCACGCUCAGUAGGGCCCACAAGAUCCAUGUGCUCAUUGGCUGGUCCGCACACAUCCUCGGGCGAGUCGAAACUUUAUCCCGUGGGUCCCGCUAUGUCCGACCCUUAGUGCCCCGGGUCGGGCGAGGCGGAGCCCUGCCUCGAGGGGUCGGGCGCAUCUGACCUCGUGACCCUGGGUCGGGCCAAGUUUUGGAUAGACCCAAAAGAGCGGAAACUUUGCGUGCGGUCACAGCACAAAUUCUCAGACAUCUUUGACAUUCAAGGCGUGUCCCAAAGGGUCAGAAGUGGAUUCAAGAGCGAGGUGGAAAAUAGGAACUGAUUUCACCAAAAUCAUUUCAUUACUGGUCUCUUAACACAGGAGGAGUACUCAACUCAAGGCUAAACUAUUACAUCACUAUCCAAAAGUAUAGGUUGCCGAGGAG